GGGUCAGUAGGUUGGUCGUGCCACCGGUACGUACUGGUCUCACUGAUCCCUCCUUCCUGAAGAACCGUAAUGGCAUUAAUUUGGUGUUGCGGGGAAACAGGACUGUUACUUUCAAAAAAUUAGAGUGUUUAAAGCAAGCUAACGCUUGAAUACAUUAGCAUGGAAUAAUGAAAUAGGACGAUCGAUCCUAUUUUGUUGGUUUCUAGGAUUGACGUA
rnacentral:rRNA from 1 species